UAAGGAAUAUUGGUCAAUGGACGCAAGUCUGAACCAGCCAUGCCGCGUGAAGGAUGAAGGUCCUCUGGAUUGUAAACUUCUUUUAUCUGGGACGAAAACGGGAUUUUUAUCUCAAUUGACGGUACCAGAGGAAUAAGCACCGGCUAACUCCGUGCCAGCAGCCGCGGUAAUACGGAGGGUGCGAGCGUUAUCCGGAUUUACUGGGUUUAAAGGGUGCGUAGGUGGGCUUAUAAGUCAGUGGUGAAAUCUCCGAGCUUAACUUGGAAACUGCCGUUGAUACUAUAGGUCUUGAAUUAUCUGGAGGUAAGCGGAAUACGUCAUGUAGCGGUGAAAUGCUUAGAUAUGACAUAGAACACCAAUUGCGAAGGCAGCUUACUACAUAUAAAUUGACGCUGAGGCACGAAAGCGUGGGGAUCAAACA
rnacentral:rRNA from 1 species